GUGAACGCUGGCGGUAGGCCUAACACCUGCCAGUCGAACGGCAGCACCGUAAGAGCUUGCUCUUACGGGUGGCGAGUGGCGGACGGGUGAGGAAUACAUCGGAAUCUACUUUUUCGUGGGGGAUAACGUAGGGAAACUUACGCUAAUACCGCAUACGACCUACGGGUGAAAGCAGGGGAUCUUCGGACCUCGCGCGAUUGAAUGAGCCGAUGUCGGAUUAGCUAGUUGGCGGGGUAAAGGCCCACCAAGGCGACGAUCCGUAGCUGGUCUGAGAGGAUGAUCAGCCACACUGGAACUGAGACACGGUCCAGACUCCUACGGGAGGCAGCAGUGGGGAAUAUUGGACAAUGGGCGCAAGCCUGAUCCAGCCAUACCGCGUGGGUGAAGAAGGCCUUCGGGUUGUAAAGCCCUUUUGUUGGGAAAGAAAAGCAGCAGGUUAAUACCCCGCUGUUCUGACGGUACCCAAAGAAUAAGCACCGGCUAACUUCGUG
rnacentral:rRNA from 1 species